rnacentral:rRNA from 1 species
AGUUAGUGGCGGACGGGUGAGUAACGCGUGGGUAACCUGCCUUACACAGGGGGAUAACACUUAGAAAUAGGUGCUAAAACCGCAUAAGCGCACAGCUUUGCAUGAAGCAGUGUGAAAAACUCCGGUGGUGUAAGAUGGACCCGCGUCUGAUUAGCUUGUUGGCGGGGUAACGGCCCACCAAGGCGACGAUCAGUAGCCGGCCUGAGAGGGCGGACGGCCACAUUGGGACUGAGACACGGCCCAGACUCCUACGGAAGGCAGCAG